rnacentral:rRNA from 1 species
UGGGGAAUCUUGCGCAAUGGGCGAAAGCCUGACGCAGCGACGCCGCGUGAGCGAUGAAGGCCUUCGGGUUGUAAAGCUCUGUGGGGAGAGAAGAAUAAGGGUUGGCUAACAUCCAACCUGAUGACGGUAUCUCCUUAGCAAGCACCGGCUAACUCUGUGCCAGCAGCCGCGGUAAGACAGAGGGUGCAAACGUUGUUCGGAAUCACUGGGCGUAAAGCGCGUGUAGGCGGCUUGGCAAGUCGGAUGUGAAAUCCCACGGCUCAACCAUGGAAGUGCAUUCGAAACUGCCAGACUAGAGUCCUGGAGAGGAAGGCGGAAUACUCGGUGUAGAGGUGAAAUUCGUAGAUAUCGAGUGGAACACCGGUGGCGAAGGCGGCCUUCUGGACAGUGACUGACGCUGAA